GGCAGUUGGGCCUUGAGAACUAGUGAAGGAGCGUGAGAAACUGGAGGUGGAGGAACCAUUAGCUGUUGUGGCGGCUUCAGUUGUCUGCUGAUUUGUGCCUUGCUGUGUCUGGAAACUACCAAAGGGUCUGGAAAAUCCUUGAAACAGUCCAUAGACAGUUGAGCCUCGGCUUUGAGAACCAUUGUGGGAGCUGGAAGACAUGCCGGAGGCUUGUUGGGUUAAAGUUAAAGGAGGGGCAGAGCUCAGUUGGUUUGUGCCUUGCUGUGUCUGGAUACUCCCAUAGGGGCUGGAAAAUCCUUGAGACAGUCCAUAGACAGUUGAGCCUCGUCUUUGAGAACCACUGUAGGAGCUUGAAGUGCUAGAAGUAGAACCAUUCAACACUGGACUUGCAGAGGCUUGUUGAGUUACAUUUAAUCCAGCCACGGAGCCAAGCUGGUUUUUGCCUUGCUGUGCCGGGGAACCAGCAUAUUGGCUGGAAAGUCUAAGCAACAGCCAGUAGGCAGUUGGGCUUGGAGAACCAGUGAAGGAGCUCGAUAAGCCGGAGGAACCAUUAGCUGUUGUGGCACCUUCACUUGCCUGAUGGGAUACUGUUAAUGCAGGGGCAGAGCUUGAUUGACCAUGACCAUACAGGCUCGCGAGCCCAUGAGACGGCCCAUAACCAGUUGAGCCUCGGCUUUGAGAACCAUGGAAGGAGCUUGAAGUACUAGAUGUAGAACCACUGGACACUGCACUCCCAGAGGCCUGCUGGGUCACGAAGGCAGGGGCAGAGCUUGAUUGACCACCACCACCAUACUGGCUUGCAAGCACUUGAGACGGUCCAUGGCCAGUGGAGCUUUGAGAACCAAUGUAGGGGCUUGAUAAACUGGAGGUGGAGGAGCCAUUAGCUGUUGUGGCACCUCCACUUGCCUGCUGAGUUCCAGUUAAUGCAAGGGCAGAGCUCAGUUGAUUUGUGCCUUGCUGUGUCUGGAAACUACCAUAGGGUCUGGAAAGUCCUAGUGAAGGCCAAUUGGAAGACGGGCUUUGAGAACCAGUGAAGGAGCUCGAUGAGCUGGAGGAGCCAUUAGCUGUUGCGGCAGCUUCAGUUGUCUGCCGAUUU
ensembl:lncRNA